rnacentral:rRNA from 1 species
CAGGAACGCUGGCGGCAGGCUUAACACAUGCAAGUCGAGCGCCCCGCAAGGGGAGCGGCAGACGGGUGAGUAACGCGUGGGAAUCUACCCAUCUCUACGGAAUAACGCAUGGAAACGUGUGCUAAUACCGUAUACGUCCUUCGGGAGAAAGAUUUAUCGGAGAUGGAUGAGCCCGCGUUGGAUUAGCUAGUUGGUGGGGUAAAGGCCUACCAAGGCGACGAUCCAUAGCUGGUCUGAGAGGAUGAUCAGCCACACUGGGACUGAGACACGGCCCAGACUCCUACGGGAGGCAGCAGUGGGGAAUAUUGGACAAUGGGCGCAAGCCUGAUCCAGCCAUGCCGCGUGAGUGAUGAAGGCCCUAGGGUUGUAAAGCUCUUUCACCGGUGAAGAUAAUGACGGUAACCGGAGAAGAAGCCCCGGCUAACUUCGUGCCAGCAGCCGCGGUAAGAC